GAAGUAUUACUCUGCAUAAAAGGAGUCGGGAAAAAAAACAAGUUGUAUUAAAGGAGAGAAAAAAGGUGGUAGAAAUCAGCCUAGUGAGGAUCUCCGAAUCGGCUACAACUGCAUUUCUAUCACUGCAUUUAUUGUGUAACCAGUUCGUAACUAUGGUUAAAGUCGUGCUGCUGUUGGGCGUUGUAUGGCUGGGUCGACCACUGGUGUACCGAUGUCUCUUGGGUAUAGCGGAUACCAAACCGCAAUGCCGCUGCCUUACUACACAACAACUUUAACGACCGUUUUCUACACCGAGGCCCUCAAGUACUACACCACUAAGCCAUCGGAGUAUGACACCAUAACUUACGCUUCCCCGAGCUACUACACCGAUGCCCCGAAUUAUUACUCUGCCUCCAGCUACACCACCAGAGCAGCGGAGUACUACAAGACUACCUACACCGAGUCUCCAGCUACUACACCGAAGCGCCUAAGUACUACUCUGCCCCGAACUACACAGCCACAACUGAGGCGGACAAGGAUUACGCAGCCCCCACUUACUACACAGAAGCUGUUCCUUCCUACAACGUUGAACAGAAAUACUACACUGAUGCUCCAGUUUACUACACCCCAGCUUACGCUACAUCUAGCAACAACACCGAAGCCCCCAAGUACAGCACCUAAGAAUCAUCAUAUUACAGAGCCACGUACGAUCUCCCAGUUUAGUACACUGAGGAACUUUAGUAUUACUCUGCUCCAAGCUACAACCAAACUAAGGCUCAUAAGUAUGAAACCGCUACUUACGCUGCUCCGACCUAUACACCCGAAGUUGCAGACUAUUCAUCUGUCCUAAGGUACUACACUACUAAGGCAGCAAUGUUUUACACCUCAACCUUCGCUUCUGCUGCCGAAGACAAGGAGACUUCUUAAUACUGCAGCUGAAUUUUAAGUUGAUUAUUUGUGUCGGGAUUUGUGUUCAGAUUUGUCGGUUAUAUUUUAAUAGUUGCUAGACAGAGAUAUGAUUGUGGCUGUUUAAUGAGAAAAUAAAUAUUUAAUUGCGGG